rnacentral:tRNA from 1 species
GUCUUCGUGGCUCAGUUGGUUAGAGCGUCAGUCUCAUACUUCCUACGUAUGAUCCCCUUGGAAACGAGGAGAACCACCUAUCUGAAGGUCGCCAGUUCGAACCUGGCCGAGGACA